AGUCGAACGAUGAUCAGGAGCUUGCUUCUGUGAUUAGUGGCGAACGGGUGAGUAACACGUGAGUAACCUGCCCCUGACUCUGGGAUAAGCGUUGGAAACGACGUCUAAUACUGGAUAUGACUUCCGGCCGCAUGGUCUGGUUGUGGAAAGAUUUUUUGGUUGGGGAUGGACUCGCGGCCUAUCAGCUUGUUGGUGAGGUAAUGGCUCACCAAGGCGACGACGGGUAGCCGGCCUGAGAGGGUGACCGGCCACACUGGGACUGAGACACGGCCCAGACUCCUACGGGAGGCAGCAGUGGGGAAUAUUGCACAAUGGGCGAAAGCCUGAUGCAGCAACGCCGCGUGAGGGAUGACGGCCUUCGGGUUGUAAACCUCUUUUAGUAGGGAAGAAGCGAAAGUGACGGUACCUGCAGAAAAAGCACCGGCUAACUACGUGCCAGCAGCCGCGGUAAUACGUAGGGUGCAAGCGUUGUCCGGAAUUAUUGGGCGUAAAGAGCUCGUAGGCGGUUUGUCGCGUCUGCUGUGAAAUCCCGAGGCUCAACCUCGGGCUUGCAGUGGGUACGGGCAGACUAGAGUGCGGUAGGGGAGAUUGGAAUUCCUGGUGUAGCGGUGGAAUGCGCAGAUAUCAGGAGGAACACCGAUGGCGAAGGCAGAUCUCUGGGCCGUAACUGACGCUGAGGAGCGAAAGCAUGGGGAGCGAACAGGAUUAGAUACCCUGGUAGUCCAUGCCGUAAACGUUGGGCGCUAGAUGUAGGGACCUUUCCACGGUUUCUGUGUCGUAGCUAACGCAUUAAGCGCCCCGCCUGGGGAGUACGGCCGCAAGGCUAAAACUCAAAGGAAUUGAC
rnacentral:rRNA from 1 species